rnacentral:rRNA from 1 species
UACGUAGGGUGCAAGCGUUGUCCGGAAUUAUUGGGCGUAAAGAGCUCGUAGGCGGUCUGUUAUGUCGGAUGUGAAAGCCCUUGGCUCAACUGAGGAAGUGCAUCCGAAACUGGCAGGCUAGAGUACUAAAGAGGAUCGCGGAAUUCCCGGUGUAGAGGUGAAAUUCGUAGAUAUCGGGAGGAACACCGGUGGCGAAGGCGGCGAUCUGGGUAGAUACUGACGCUGAAGUGCGAAAGCGUGGGGAGCAAACAGG